AAAUGUUUAAUUACAAUUUACCAGGUAUCAAGUUAAACGUUACGUGUUCAACAAUGAAUGUUAAAUUGUAGCAAAUUUAUUCCUUUCGAUUGAAUGCUCUCUACGUAAUUAACCUUCCUGUAUUUGGACAAACACUGAUAAAAAUUAUAAAGAUGGUCAUAAGGCCAAAAAUUUUUGAAAGAAUGCAUUUCCUCUCAGAUGAUACUAUGAUCAAAGAAAAAUUGCCUGAAGAUCUUUUACCGGUGGAUUUUGGUGGAAAAAGAAUUUCGCUUGAGAAAUUACAAGAAAUGAUGGUUGCUGAAUAUCAACAACAUCUUGGUUUCUUCGACGAUCUGGAAAAAUUUAAGGUCGAUGAAAAUCUUCGACCAGCGAAAUUGGAAAAUGAUGAAAUGUUGGGGUUCUAUGGCAAUUUCAAAAAAUUGAAUGUCGAU